GAAGCGGCAACAGCUCAAAUUUGAAAGCUGGCCUUCGGGUCCGCAUUGUAAUUUGUAGAGGAUGCUUUGGGGCAGCCGCCUGUCUAAGUUCCUUGGAACAGGACGUCAUAGAGGGUGAGAAUCCCGUAUGUGACAGGAAAUGGCACCCUAUGUAAAGCUCCUUCGACGAGUCGAGUUGUUUGGGAAUGCAGCUCUAAAUGGGAGGUAAAUUUCUUCUAAAGCUAAAUAUUGGCGAGAGACCGAUAGCGCACAAGUAGAGUGAUCGAAAGAUGAAAAGCACUUUGGAAAGAGAGUUAAAAAGCACGUGAAAUUGUUGAAAGGGAAGCGCUUGCAAUCAGACUUGUCUAAACCGUUCGGCCGGUCUUCUGACCGGUUUACUCGGUUUGGGCAGGCCAGCAUCAGUUUCGGCGGCCGGAUAAAGGCCCUGGGAAUGUGGCCAUCACUUCGGUGGUGGUGUUAUAGCCCGGGGUGUAAUACGGCCAGCCGGGACUG
rnacentral:rRNA from 1 species